GGUUCAAUGGCGUAGUGGUUAUCGCAUCUGUCUUACAUUGAGUUUCCACAGAAGGUCUCCGGUUCGAUCCCGGGUUGAACCA
rnacentral:tRNA from 1 species